AACAGCCGCCAAACAAGAGAAGCCCAGUUGUUUUAAAUGCUUGAAUAAUCAGGUAACAAAUGUUUUACUGGUUAUUAUAUUUUUUUGCACUGGUGCUUUUGAAUCAAAGAAGUUCAGCAUGAAAUGUAAAAAGUUUGAAUACUUUGUGAUCCCAUGCAGGAAUGUCAUUAUGAUGAUAAAUGUUAGGCUUUACAUUUCGAAUAGCAAUAAGAACCAAUGGAUUGAUCAGACCUGUCUAUAAUCUUGGAGUUAUUAAAUGUAAAUUCUGGUUGUAUGGAUUUGAGUUAGAUUCAUCGUCAGGAUAUAUGGUUCUCAAAUAGAUUUAUAGUUAAAGAGUUUAUUGUCUAACGAGCGAUAUUUAAUUAUAGUGUUGCAUUAAACAGCGAUCUGUUUUAUCAUAGUUAAUAGAAUAGAUGGUUUGGAAAAUCAUUAGAAUAACAAUAUUACUCGUUAUCUAUGUUAGUCAACGUUUAUUCAUAAAUAUACUUUAUCUUUGCAAGAAAGAAACGAGUUGCAUGGUAGUAGCUUUCCAGUUAAUAAUGAACUUUUAUUUUAAUUUAAUUUAAAGGGGCUAUUCUGCGUAUAAAUGAGCGGCACAAGGUCCUCUGGUAGGAAUUGAACCUACAGCCCUGCGAUUCCGGUGCAGUUCUCUAACCAACUGAGAACAUUAAUUCCACCAGGUGAAGUGCAAAGAAACAAGAUCAUUGAAGUCCAUGUAUUUCAGGUCUUUCAAAAACUCACGAAAGUGCACCAAGACGUUUUUUGGUUACAAUUAACAGUCAUUACAGAUAUAAUAUAUAAUUUAAUGAUUAUAUAAAAUUUAAAUACCAAGACCUCAACAGUCAACAACUACACGAAUGAAUUAUUAAUGAUUAAUCAAAAACGAAAUUAAUUAUUACUAUUGAUUAUAUUUUGAACUGCGGUGAUACUUUGAAUUCCAAAACGUAUAAGUUGGGUCUAAUACAUUUAAAAAACAUUUACAAAUUUCACUCCUGCUGACGAAGACCACAUCUCGCUGUCCUCCCAACACUACCCAUGCAACACGCCCAUAGAUAUACCACUGCUUUAAAGAUGAUACUAUUUAUCGUUUCUUUUCUAGGUUAACCUAACAAGUCAAGAAGCUGAUGCUACGUUAGCGAUGUGGGAAGAUCAGAUGAAGAGACUUCGAAAGAUCACUAGUCUUCAUUCGUUAAAUAAAGAGAUAAAGGCAGCCCAAUGUGAACCUGCAGUAAGGAUACGUGCGUAUAGGAAUGGCGAGGGUAUACGUGAUCAACCUGUACUAGUCAUUGGUUCUACGAUAGAUUCG